CUACGGGAUGCACCAGUGGGGAAUUUUGGACAAUGGGCGCAAGCCUGAUCCAGCAAUGCCGCGUGCAGGAAGAAGGCCUUCGGGUUGUAAACUGCUUUUGUACGGAGCGAAAAGGCUCUCUCUAAUACAGGGGGCUCAUGACGGUACCGUAAGAAUAAGCACCGGCUAACUACGUGCCAGCAGCCGCGGUAAUACGUAGGGUGCAAGCGUUAAUCGGAAUUACUGGGCGUAAAGCGUGCGCAGGCGGUUUUGUAAGACAGGCGUGAAAUCCCCGGGCUCAACCUGGGAAUGGCGCUUGUGACUGCAAGGCUGGAGUGCGGCAGAGGGGGAUGGAAUUCCGCGUGUAGCAGUGAAAUGCGUAGAUAUGCGGAGGAACACCGAUGGCGAAGGCAAUCCCCUGGGCCUGCACUGACGCUCAUGCACGAAAGCGUGGGGAGCAAACAGGAUUAGAUACCCCGGUAGUC
rnacentral:rRNA from 1 species